rnacentral:antisense_RNA from 1 species
GAGAAGUUUUUCACAUUGAACACAGACCAGAGAAGUGUUUCCACUAAUUUAUAGGAUAAAAAAAAAAAAACCUACUGCCUUUCAUUUCUCUACUCUUCCAACAGCUCCGAGAACAAUGGUUCCUGAGAGUGACAAUAUCUGAGGAAAGAGCAGGUCCUGCAACCAACGAGAAAUUCUCCUGCAGCAUUUCAAAGCAGGCAAGAUGGAGAGUAUUUGAGCGGUCAAAUAGAGGAUAUGAGAAGAAAAAAAGAAUAACUUCUAUGUGGAAAAUGAUUCUUAAAUUUGUUUGCAUAUGGGCAAACUCUGCCAUUGCACCUAACAUCCUAUGGACCAAAGUCCUGUGGAAUUUCCACAUAAAAAUAAAUGGAAAGUUGCACAUGUCUGAAGAAGAAAAUAUAUUUGAGAAGUAUUGUGAAUAAAGAACAGUGUUUUUCUAUGUUGAUUCAAAGAUGGUAUUUUGGUGGCUGGAAGAAUGUUAGCUGCAAUAAAAUAUUAACUAUUUUCAAUCCACCAAGUUUGGUGCAUUAAUUUUGAAUAUUGGAGAAAUACUAUGCAACAAGCAUGUGAAGACACGGGUAUGCAAUAUUUAAAGAAGGUUUUAUCUAAAGUUGGAAACAUGUGGGUCUCCAGUAAAAGAUGAUGAGUGGAUCUACAGAAAUGGACAAGAUCAUUAAAGAAGAAAGGUAAUAGAAGAGAGAAUUGUUAUGAAGACUGAAUAGGAUACUACAUCAAUGCAUUUCAUACCAUAUCAGAUACAUAAUAUAUGUUCAAUAAAAUGAUAGUUUUUCCCUUU